rnacentral:rRNA from 1 species
CCUCCUCUCGCCCCCGAUCUGCUCCACCUUCCUCGCCGCCCCACACCGCCAAGAACCGCCGGAGCCCCACCCCACCAGGCGCCGCCGGAGCCCCGCCAUACCACGCGCUGCCCCCUCGCCCGCAGUGCCGUCCCCUCCCCCGCAGCACCGCCUCCCUCCCGCCGCGAACCACCGCUGCAGCGAGGCUAGCCACCACCGGAUCCAGACAAACUACGGCCCCCACGCGACCCACCAUUGCCGGCCCGGAGCCUGCAAGGCCUCGCGCGAGCCGCCUCCUAUCCCCCCAUCGCAUGGGGUCGCCCCGCCUUCUCCUCCGCCCUGGUUCAGAUCGUGUCGUGGCGAACUCUCUCCUUCUCGUUGCGGUCUCCGGCCAGGGCGUCAUCUGUGGUGCACGGGUGUCGUCCCACCCCUAUGCAGCUCGGUCGCUGCCCCCUGUGCAGCUCGGUCGCGGCUCCCGUGCAGCUCGGUUGCGUCUGUCUCUCCUUUUCCCUCACAUGCCGAUUGGGGGAGCGAGGAGCGGCGGCGGAGGAGCGUUCUCAUGGCAAGGGGAGGUGCGGGCGCACGGGGCUCCACCGGCGGCAUCUGCAGUUCACUCCAUGCAAGAUGAGCUCGGAAAUGCUCGCGAUGCCGUUCAGAGCUUGUGCCCGUGCAGUACGGCGAGCGCCAUCUCUUCCCAUUGGUCGGUGGACCAUGGCCAUGCAGCUCGGAGAUGCUCUCCAUGUGGUUCUGGACUUGUGUGUGUGCAGUCGGGAGAGCGCCAUCUCCAUCUCUUCCCGUGUGGGGUUCUGGAGGUACCUUCUGAAGAAGAACCUUGAUGCCCGGUGGCUGCAAGGGUUCCCUUGCGCCGUGUUUGCGAUCGGCGAUUCAGGCUACCAGGGGUUGCUACAAAGAAGCUCCGUACAAGGCUUUCACAGCUUGGUGCAAAAUCGAUCAGUGAUUGGAUUGGGAGAUGACCAAGACUCUUCAGGAUAUGAAAAAGCUCUAGGUCCUUGGCUGCUGUCUUUCUGGAAAUCACUGAAUCGAACAAAUCCGUCGCUUUUACCAAGAAUUCAGGCUCGUCCGCGGGCACUCAGACAAGCGUCCAAGCACUCCUAUGAGUGUCCGUGCACAUCAGCGCCUCUACCACAAACAUUCAGAAAAAAGAGGAUUCCCCUAGUGUGGAAAAUGGAUAGCUCUAGAAUCUACUCCUCACAAUGGUUAUAUGCUGCUUUCAACUUCUCUGUGUAGUGAGUUGUAUUUUGUGUGUGGAUGAUUGUAACUUGGAGACAGAAGAAAAGAAAGGGAUGCAAUUUUGUUACACUGCAUCGUGGGUUUUUACUCAGUUUGUAAUUUCUUUCAUUGUAAAUGCAGUGCGCUUGGUGAACCGAAGAAGUACAUUUUUCAAAGUAU